AUCUCCUGGAAAUCUUGUUAAAAUGUAGAUUCUGAUGCAGACCCAUUAGUCUGCAUUUCUAACAAGAUACCAGGUAAUGCUAAUGCAACU
rnacentral:miRNA from 1 species